rnacentral:lncRNA from 1 species
AAUUAUUGAGUCAAUAAUAUAAAAUACUAUUCAAUUAUCACUGUAGCAAUUAUUGCAUCAAUAAUAUGAAAGACUGUGCAAUUUUUACUGUAACAAUUAUUGAGUCAAACACUGAGUGACUUCUUACGCAAGCAUCAAUAAUCAGAGAUAUUGUGACCUACCAUGUGCUACUAUGUAAAACCCCGUACUACUGUGGAACAACGCAUAUUACUG